UGUUUGUUUAGCAGGCUGUCAGCAGUGUGUCUGCCCGGAAUAACUUUAGCGAGUGUCCAACAAACUGUGUGUGUUUGUGUUACUUUAGCAUCUCUAGCGUUGCCGGAGGCUUCAUGCUCGCCGUCGCCGCCACACGUAGUCUGCGUAACUUUAGUGAGUGUCCAACAGACCGUGUGUGUGUAUUAGUGGUGAGUGUGAGGUUGUUGGUGGCGUUCUAGCUGUGAAUGUAGGUAUAGCUUAAU